ACACACACACCCCACAGAGCUUCACUAAACCCUGAGCUGUAUUUUAUUCAGCAGGAACCUUUGCUAUUAGAAUUCUACUUGCAUCUUAAUUUUGCUUUCCCCAUGAGUGUGUUAAGCGUUUUCUAAAGUAUACCUUUAAAAACAUCAUAAAUAUAUUAAACAGCCAUUGUCUAAUUGAAAGUGCUAAUUUAAUUCAACAUACUUUUGUGGAUAGCACUGUUUGCAAAGCUUCAGUGAAUACAUGGAUGAAUAAAAUAGUCUUUCAUCUCAAGGAGUUUAUGAUCUUUUAGGGAAAGAUAAGAAAAGUAAAAAAAAAAGAAAAAAAUCGUUACAAUGGUUGCUAUUAUGGACAGUUGAAAGGAAGGGUUAUUUAGCCCAUCCAGGAAUGAGAAAAGGCUUUAUAUGAAAAGUGGCCUUUGAGAUGGACUUUGAAGGUUUAAAGGAUAUGGCAAGUUUCUGCACCAGGGAAUAUGGUUUGCAAAAACGGUGAUUUUUAUAGUGCGUGUGUGUGUGUGUGUAUACACGAAAAUCCUAAUUCUUUAGGGUACUUGUUACAAAUGUAGGUUCCAGAGAUUCCAGGAAGUCCACAGGGGGGCCCAGGAGUCCACAUUUCAGGCAAGCAGCCAGGUGAAAUGUAUGUCCAGGAUCCACAGACCUCAUUUUAAAGAAAGCCUGGAUUGAAUAAUGAGUGGGGAGUGGGCAAGUGCAGUGAGUGAGGGAAUGGCUGGUUGUUUGUGGCUGCCAGGCUCCAGUGCAAUGUGGUCACACUGUUAAAAGUGGCCAAUGAAGAAGCCAACAGAGCGAAUGAAAGAGGAAAACAGGUAGAAGAACUAGAAUUGCUGAAGAAAGGGGGAGGGAUAAGGCACAAGCAGCCAGGACACAGCAGCCAAAGAAGCCAAUCUUUUUUUUUUAGGAGGUGAAGUGUCAAGGGUCUUUGUUCUUUAACUGAGAAGUAGGGGGCAAGCUUAUCUGACACAAGAAGGAGUUGAGAGCUUGAGCAGAGAAAAGGUAAUAGGUAACUCUGUAUUUAAUGUUUUGAGGACCUGCCCACUGGCAGGCAGGAAACGCAACCCUUUUAGCAACUGUUGAGAAAAAAAAAAAAAGAUGCAAACCUACCUCAGGAAUUUGUUUUGCAUCGGGUCAGCAGGGGGCGCUAUGGUAGCACAUAUGCUGAUAACCGGGCCCCACUUCCUAGACAUGGCGAUGCCCGCUCUUGUUUAAUGGGAUUAACCCGACCCACAGUGUAGUAUUGGGGGAGCUUCAUUUAUUACAUUUAUUGCUGUGAACCUUCAUAGAAGGAACUUUUAGGUUUUCUCUUUAAUUAUUAAGGCAUCUAGGUUUUUCUUGAACUGGCAGUUCCUAUAGUCCAAAAGAAAUUAAUUCCAAAGUUUAAGGGGAUUAUUACCCAUUUAUUGACCUCACUUGAGGCACAGAGCCUCAGAAAUUAGGAGAGCAGAAAAGACUGAGGAACGAGCGAAAUGCAGCUCGUCCUAGAAGAGGAACCACCGGUGACAGGAUGUGCGCAGUGUCUGUGAUGUUCGAUGCUGUCCGGUUGUCUUCCAGAGAGACUGUACCAGUUUCAUUUUGCACCAACGAUGCCUGAAGGUCUUAACACCUCGGAAAACCCACCAGCUAAGGUACUCUUCAGCACCAUAAUUCAACAUGAGGAAUGUGUCCUGAAUGGAAAAUAGGCUUUGCCUCUUAGGCAGAGGACCAAGAACUUCACUUUAUCCCUAGCAGUGUGUAUUACUCAUGGUAGCAUCGGAGAACCAGACAAUGUCCAGGUGGUAUGAAGUAGAAGGAAGAGUAUUAGACUAGAAGUCAUGGCUCAACUUGUAAGCUAUGUGGCUUUGGGCAAACUGUUUAACCUCUUUGGGUCUGUGUGACAAUAUCUGUAAGGUAAGGUCAGGAGAUUGGACCAGGUGAUUUUUUUUUUUUAAUUAAAAAACUUUUUUUAAUGAUUUCACUUAUAUGUGGAAUCUAAAAAAACAAAACCAAUGAACAAGAAAACAAUAAAACAGAAAUACACUCAUAAAUACAGAGAACAAACUGGUGGUUGCCAGUGGGAAAGGAAGUGAGGGAAUAGGUAAAAUAAGUGAAGGGGAUUAAGAGGUACAAACUUCCAGCUAUAAAACAAAAAAAGUCACAGGGAUAAAAAGUACAGCAUAGGGAAUGGAAUUCAAUAAUAUUGUAAUAAUUUUAUAUGUUGACACAAUAACUACAUGUACAGUAAUGAGCAUUUUAUAAUGUAUAUAAUUAAUAAAUCACUAUGUUGUACACUUGAAACUAAUAUAUUGUAUGCCAACUAUACUUUCAUAAAGAAUCUAUUCUCUUUAUAACAAGACAUAAUUGGAAACAUUGGUUAUAUUGCCAAGGCUUUGAUUUGAAUUUCAUGUUUGAAAAUAUGCAUACAAUUUAAUAUGGCCAGAUAAUUUUUAGGAACUAAGAUUGGCUUUAAAAGAACCCUGGAAAACCUGGCCUACUACCUUGCAUACAGGGUUCCCAGUAGCCUUGCCAGAUGAGUAAGAAAGAUCACUUCCUGAAAGGCUGAGGAACCUCAGGAUAUCUUCGGGACCUCAGGAAAAUAGAAAUUCACUGAAAUCUAUAGGUAUUCCAAGUAAAGUCUGAUGGUGAGUUCUUGGCAUUAAUUCUUAGCCUCAAAGUUUCU